GACGAACGCUGGCGGCGUGCCUCAGACAUGCAAGUCGAACGCGAAAGGCUCCUUCGGGGGCCGAGUAGAGUGGCGCACGGGUGAGUAACACGUGGGUAAUUUGCCUUUGGGUGGGGAAUAACUCAGGGAAACUUGAGCUAAUACCGCAUAAUGCAGCGGCUCGACAUCGAGACAGUUGUUAAAGCGGGGGAUCGCAAGACCUCGCGCCUGAAGAGAAGCCUGCGGCAGAUUAGCUAGUUGGUAGGGUAAUGGCCUACCAAGGCGACGAUCUGUAACCGGCCUGAGAGGGCGGUCGGUCACACUGACACUGACAUACGGGUCAGACUCCUACGGGAGGCAGCAGUCGGGAAUUUUGGGCAAUGGGCGCAAGCCUGACCCAGCAACGCCGCGUGAAGGAUGAAAUCCCUCGGGAUGUAAACUUCGCAAGAA
rnacentral:rRNA from 1 species